AUCUCUUGGUUCUCGCAUCGAUGAAGAACGCAGUGAAAUGCGAUAACUGGUGUGAAUUGCAUCCAAGUAACUCUAAUUUACGAAUAACACCAAGUGAAUCAUCGAGUCUUUGAACGCAAUUGCGCCCUCUCGGUCGCUUCCAAUUGGGGGUUGACUCAUAGGGGGUACGUCUGUUCGAGGGUCAUUUGAACCUCUCAAAGGGUUUUUAGAUUUUAAACCCUUUGGAUUUGGGUCUUGCCGUGAAAUUCUAUCUUGGCUUACCUUGAAAGCAUUAGCAAAGCUUUUCAGCACUUGAAAGUCUUUUUGAAUGAGGGCGUUGUUAAUUUGGUCAGGCCUCCUUGAG
rnacentral:rRNA from 1 species